rnacentral:lncRNA from 1 species
AUAAGCAUCCGAGACUUCAGGCACCCCCACAGUAACAGAAAUGAAUGGCAGAAGGGUCACGGAAUCCUACAAAAUUUUGCAGAGGUGCCCGAACCUGCAACUGAAACAUGGAACGUUAGGCAACGCAUUGUCACCCAACAAAACAUUCCCAACGACAGAUGUAAAUAGAUGGUCCAGAAGAACGAUCUCGAUUAACAUCGACAAGGAAUACCUAGCUACGACCACAAAGGGAGGGCACGAAAAAGCACAUCGAACAACAGCGAGACCGUAACAACGACAAAAGUAAAUAAAUGGACAGAAGCUGCUAGCAACAUGACCUAUUUCUUCUUCUACCCUGGCUCGGAGACCGACGGCAUCUCCCCGGCUGGUGCCGACGUCUCCGCGCUGCCACCGCUCCCCGGACAUCGAGCGCAUCUGAUCUAUCCUUCACACACAGAUUCAAGAUGAAAGAAACUCAGAAUCGUACGCCUGCAGAACACGACUGAAAAUGAAGACAAGAAGAAAGAAGAAGCAGCCAAUGUAUACCAGGGGGGCUAUGUAUCACCGGC